AGUUAGUGGCAGACGGGUGAGUAACGCGUGGGAACGUGCCCUUGGGUGGGGGAUAACCGCUGGAAACGGCGGCUAAUACCGCAUACGCCAUAUUGGGAAAGCCUUGUGCGCCCUUGGAUCGGCCCGCGUCGGAUUAGGUUGUUGGUGAGGUAACGGCUCACCAAGCCAUCGAUCCGUAGCUGGUCUGAGAGGAUGAUCAGCCACACUGGGACUGAGAC
rnacentral:rRNA from 14 species